rnacentral:pre_miRNA from 1 species
AAGAACAACAACAGUGGCUGCGGUCAGCUCUGGAGCCCUAGAGUCAGUUCCCACAGUAACUACAGAGCUCUCAGUCUGCAGGGGCCUGGAUGCUCUGGGGGCGG